rnacentral:rRNA from 1 species
AGAGUUUGAUCCUGGCUCAGAAUCAACGCUGGCGGCGUGCCUAACACAUGCAAGUCGAACGAGAAAGUCCGCAAGGAUGAGUAAAGUGGCGUACGGGUGAGUAACACGUAGCUAACCUACCCUCGAGUGGGGAAUAACCUGGGGAAACUCGGGCUAAUACCGCAUAACACCCGGAUUACAUCGGUAGUCUGGGGCAAGGG